AUGACGUUGGGAAAGCGAGCGGCGGAUGGGUGAGUAACACGUGGGGAACCUGCCCCUAAGUCUGGGAUACCAUUUGGAAACAGGUGCUAAUACCGGAUAAUAAAGCAGAUCGCAUGAUCAGCUUUUGAAAGGCAGCGUAAGCUGUCGCUAAGGGAUGGCCCCGCGGUGCAUUAGCUAGUUGGUAAGGUAACGGCUUACCAAGGCGACGAUGCAUAGCCGAGUUGAGAGACUGAUCGGCCACAUUGGGACUGAGACACGGCCCAAACUCCUACGGGAGGCAGCAGUAGGGAAUCUUCCACAAUGGACGCAAGUCUGAUGGAGCAACGCCGCGUGAGUGAAGAAGGUUUUCGGAUCGUAAAGCUCUGUUGUUGGUGAAGAAGGAUAGAGGUAGUAACUGGCCUUUAUUUGACGGUAAUCAACCAGAAAGUCACGGCUAACUACGUGCCAGCAGCCGCGGUAAUACGUAGGUGGCAAGCGUUGUCCGGAUUUAUUGGGCGUAAAGCGAGCGCAGGCGGAAAAAUAAGUCUAAUGUGAAAGCCCUCGGCUUAACCGAGGAACUGCAUCGGAAACUGUUUUUCUUGAGUGCAGAAGAGGAGAGUGGAACUCCAUGUGUAGCGGUGGAAUGCGUAGAUAUAUGGAAGAACACCAGUGGCGAAGGCGGCUCUCUGGUCUGCAACUGACGCUGAGGCUCGAAAGCAUGGGUAGCGAACAGGAUUAGAUACCCUGGUAGUCCAUGCCGUAAAC
rnacentral:rRNA from 1 species